rnacentral:rRNA from 1 species
UACGGAGGAUGCAAGCGUUUAUCCGGAAUAUUGGGCGUAAAGCGUCCGCAGGUGGCUGUGUAAGUCUGCUGGUUAAAGAGUCUAGCUCAACUAGAUAAGAGCAGUGGAAACUACAUAGCGUAGAGUACGUUCGGGGCAGAGGGGAAUUCCUGGAUGUAGCGGUGAAAUGCGCAGAUAAUCAGGAGGAACCACCGGUGGCGAAGGCGGGUCUCUGGGCCGAUACUGACGCUGGAGGAGCGAAAGCGUGGGGAGCGAACAGGA